rnacentral:pre_miRNA from 1 species
CAACUACUCCCUUUGUCCCAAAUUUCUUGUCUUAGAUUUGUCUAGAUACGGAUGUAUCUAAUACUAAAAUGUGACUUGAUACAUCCGUAUCUAGACAAAUCUAAGACAAGAAUUUUGGGACAGAGGGAGUACUUU